rnacentral:lncRNA from 1 species
GCACCUCAGGGUCACCGUGGCCAGGAUGACUCUCCAUUUCCUAACGGCUGGCCAUCUGUGUGGUUCAUGUAUUUACUCGUAGACUCCAGGAUGAAGAGGCUCCAACACAACAGAAUUUUGUUUCUCACUCAUUUAAUAGUCUCAGGUGGGUGAUUUGGUAACCAGGCUGCCCCUUAAGACUAUCAUCACCCACACAGGGUGGGUGGCCACACUUGGGCCCCACUGGUGGGGGAGGACAGGGAGCCUGGAAGUUCUUCUGCGAGCCCUGGCCUGCCUUAACCAAGGAGCCAACUGCAAAGCAACCUGGGAAAGGCAGUCUAGUUCAGGCCCCAGAAAGUAGGAUAUGGUUUGUGGGGGACAGCUAGUGUCACAUUGCCUGAGUACCUCACAAAGAGGACUGCCAUCAGAAUCAUACAAGGCUUUGCAAGCAUUUCCUGAGAGUCUCGUUCUGGGCCAACGGCUUAAUGUAUAUGGACUCAGAAAUUAUGCAUCUAGGAACUUACAAAAAUAGAAACUUCAUGAUAAUUGUAGCUCCCAUCUUCCCAAGACUUGAACAGCGCUGUACUUUAUUUGCAUGAGAUCAUCUGGUUCUUGAAAUAACUUUGUCAAGUAGGGAUUGUAAUGCAUUUCAUUUAACAAAUAAUUUUUGAUCACCUGCUGUGUGCUAAGCAUUGAGAAUGCACCAGUGAAUAAGAUCCUUGUCUUCGUGGAGUUGAUGUGGGGUGAGUAUGGGCUGCCACUGGAGACAGACAGAAAACAAAUGAGAUACAGCAAACGCUGGAUGGUGGUAAAUGCUGUAGAGAAAAUAAAGGAGAGGGAGAGAGGGGAGAACAGUUCUGGAAGGGGUUGCCCUUUUAAGUAGCAUAGUCUUCCCUGAGAAGGUGACCAAGACCUGAAGGAAGGAGGGAGGGAGCCGUGCUUGUAGGUGGAGGAGAGAGAUGCAGUUGAGUGGAGUAGGAGCCCACCUGGGAUGUCAGGGAGACCUGAGUGACAGCAAGGGAGGGAGGAGGGCUGAGCUGAAGGAUCAGUGAGGGUCAGAGGGUAGCAGAGGGCUGGCUCAUUGCAGCCUUGGUGAAACCUGGGCUCUCUGGUAUGGGAAGUACUAAUUGGCAGAGGAUUGGCACCAAAGCUGCUUUGAAAAAUAGACACCUAAUCAUGGUAGUUACCGUUUACUGAACAUUUAUAUGUGCCAAGCCGUGUUCUCUGGUGCUUUACAUGGGUUCGCUCAUAGAAGCCUGGCAACUAAGAACCUCCAAGAAUAGGACCUGAAUUACCAUAAUGGCAUCAUUAAGUCAACACUGCCAGCGGACCAGGCCCUGGGCUAAGUGCUUUAUGUGAACAAAUACCUGGGAUCCUUAGGAGGUAGGGACUGUUGUGGUUUUUUCUCAUUCAUUCAGCAGUGCUUUAUCAAGUACUUGUGAGAGGCAGGCACUGUUCUGGGAGCUAGGAAUGCCGCAGCAAACAGAAAAAAAACCUCUGCCUUCACGGAGGUUACGUUACAGUGGGGAAGACAGUAAGCAGAUGAUUAAGUAAAAUAUACAAAAUGUGUAGAAGGCAGAAGAAAUAGGAAGUGUAGUGGGAAGCUGGUGUGUGUGAAGGUUGUAGUGUUCAACAUGGUGGUCAGGGACCACUGAGGUCAAGUACCUGAGAAGGUGACAUCAAAUCAGGACCUGGACAAGGGAAAGGAGUGAGCCACUGGGCUGUCUGGGGAAACACUGAGUGCAAGAGUCUGGGGGGCCUGCUUGGGAUGUGUGAGGAAGUGCACGAGGCGCCAUGAGCUCUGGGAGCAAGGGGAGGACUGGUAGGAGGUGGGGCAGCACAGCAGAGGGCUGUGCCAUGUCGGCCGUGGCACCUUGGCUUCCUCUGAGUCCUCGUAGUAACAUAGGGGCAAUUUUCAUGACCAUUUUAUAGCUGCUGUAGCAGGAAUGUACAGCCAUUGAGUUACCUGCUAGAAGUCACACAGCCAGUGAGAAGCAGAGCUCAGGUUUUAACCCAGACAACCUGGUGCAGGGCAUAGGUUCCACUACUGAGCUGCACACCACUGUGGCUGCCCACAGCUAGUCAGGCUGACUUGAAAGGAUGUAGCUGUCUCUACUGAGGGCUUAUUUUUUGCAGUGUUGAGGAUUCAAACUAGGGGCAAUGUACUACUGAGCUACAAUCCCAGUUAUUUAUGUUUUAUUUUUUAUUUUGAGAUGGUCCUCCUAAGUUGCCGAGGCCAGCCUGGGACUUGUGAUUCUCCUGCCUCAGCCUCCUCAAUAGCUGGGAUUACUGUCACACGCCACCAUGUCUGGCUAGCUACUGAAGUUUUUAAGAUCACAUUGAUUACCAACAUUGAAAAUUGGGAAAUUUCACAUAAAAAUGGAAGUUUCUGCCUUCUUGAAAAAUUAUGAGAGUGGGACUCCCUCCCAUGAGGCAGUAGUUUGAUAUACUGACUGGGGGCCACCUCCUAUGGGAGAGGCAUUCAUUCUGGGGUGCCCCAUGCCUGACCUGCCUGGCACAGAACACAUUUGAUACCUGUUGUAGGAUCUUGGACCAAAGUGUCUUUCAAAACCCACACUUCUCAUCCAAGUCACAGAACCUGACAUCUAAUCUUUGAAAUGGAACUUCUAUAACCUUUGUCACUGAUCAUCACAGAAUUUGAGGCCUCAAGGCAUAAAUUCACAGCUGGUAAAAACAAGAUGUUUUAUUGUAACAAAAUACCUGAGACUGGGUGCCUUAUAAAGAUUAAAAAUGCAUUUCUCACAGUUCUGGAGACUA